CACAACAUCAGCAGACAUCUCAGAGUUGUGAUGGAUGUUUCUUCUCUUCAGCUCAACACAAGGAGAAGCAACACUUCAUAACCAAACAAACAUAAACAAGAAAUUCAUUCAUGGCAGAAGAUCUGUGGAGCAUCACAAACCGAAGGAGAAUUAAACAGAUAGAAAAAGAAAAAUGCCAAACAAAGAGAGCAAGAGACAAUCUACUGAACCAGAAGAGAAAAACACCCCGAAACUAAUCAGACGGAGCAGCAUUAAUAGCGGAAAACCAAACUUUUCUGAUGAUCCAGACAGUUUUAUUCUGACUGACUCUGAUGAGACAGGAGCAGCUCCUUUCACCGGACCAGCAGAAUAUAAUUUAUAUUCUUUAUACUCACUGAUUACAGUUUUUUACAAUCAUUUUUGCAUUAAUAACAGAACCUUCAUGUCAUUUCUCAAAACUCUAGACUCAAAACAUUAUUUGUAACACAGGCUGCCCAAAACUUUGCAUAUUGCGUUCAUAUCUUCAAAAAAGCCUUGCAUUUGCAGAAGCAAAAAAAAAAAGAAAAAGUAUUUUGGUUCAAAAAACUAAUUUAUGAAAUAUCAUAGGAACAUUACGUUAGCUCACCCACACACAAGAUACCCAUAGUUUCACGGUGUAUUUGUUAGU